rnacentral:ribozyme from 13 species
AAGCAAUGGAAGAAGGAGAAAGAAGUAACAAUACAGAAAGGAGAAGGAUGGCGGGCCUCAUCGUCAACUUCCUCUCGAUCUCUUUCUUUUCUCUUUCUUUUCUUCUCUU